GUGAACGCCGGCGGUAGGCCUAACACAUGCAAGUCGAACGGCAGCACAGUAAGAGCUUGCUCUUCCGGGUGGCGAGUGGCGGACGGGUGAGGAAUACAUCGGAAUCUACUUUUUCGUGGGGGAUAACGUAGGGAAACUUACGCUAAUACCGCAUACGACCUACGGGUGAAAGCAGGGGAUCUUCGGACCUUGCGCGAUUGAAUGAGCCGAUGUCGGAUUAGCUAGUUGGCGGGGUAAAGGCCCACCAAGGCGACGAUCCGUAGCUGGUCUGAGAGGAUGAGCAGCCACACUGGAACUGAGACACGGUCCAGACUCCUACGGGAGGCAGCAGUGGGGAAUAUUGGACAAUGGGCGCAAGCCUGAUCCAGCCAUACCGCGUGGGUGAAGAAGGCCUUCGGGUUGUAAAGCCCUUUUGUUGGGAAAGAAAAGCAGCAGGUUAAUACCCCGCUGUUCUGACGGUACCCAAAGAAUAAGCACCGGCUAACUUCGUG
rnacentral:rRNA from 1 species